rnacentral:rRNA from 1 species
GGUAGAUCGGGACCAAGGUCCGGUGGAUUGCAGGGGGGGCGAGGGUGAAGCGGAAUUACUGGGCUGAAAUCGUGCGUAGGCGUCUUUUUAAGUCGGAUGUGAAAUCCCAGAGCUUAACUUGGGAAUUGCAUUCGAUACUGGGGAGCUAGAGGAUUGGAGAGGAUGGUAGAAUUCCAGGUGUAGCGGUGAAAUGCGUAGAGAUCUGGAGGAAUACCGAUGGCGAAGGCAGCCAUCUGGCCUAAUACUGACGCUGAGGUACGAAAGCAUGGGGAGCAAACAGGAUUAGAUACCCGAGUAGUC